AUUGAACGCUGGCGGCAGGCCUAACACAUGCAAGUCGAGCGCGCGGCGGACGGGGGAGUAAUGUCUGGGAAACUGCCUGAUGGAGGGGGAGAACUCCUGGAAACGGUAGCUACAAUCGCACAAUCUCAGAUAUGCCCAGGUGGGAUUAGCUGGUAGGUGGGGGAACGUCUCACCCAGGCGAAGAUCCCUAUCUGGUCUGAGAGGAUGACCAGCAACACUGGAACUUAGACACGGUCCAGACUCCUACGGGAGGCAGCAGUGGGGAAUAUUGCACAAUGGGCGCAAGCCUGAUGCAGCCAUGCCGCGUGUGGGAAGAAGGCCUUCGGGUUGUAAAGCACUUUCAGCGUGGAGGCGUUACCCGCAGAAGAAGCACCGGCUAACUCCGUGCCAGCAGCCGCGGUAAUAC
rnacentral:rRNA from 1 species